GCCCAGGUGGUGGAAUUGGUAGACACGCAGGUUUCAGGUACCUGUGCCGCAAGGCGUGAAGGUUCGAGUCCUUUCCUGGGCA
rnacentral:tRNA from 1 species